GAUGAACGCUGGCGGCGUGCCUAAUACAUGCAAGUCGAGCGAACAGACGAGGAGCUUGCUCCUCUGACGUUAGCGGCGGACGGGUGAGUAACACGUGGAUAACCUACCUAUAAGACUGGGAUAACUUCGGGAAACCGGAGCUAAUACCGGAUAAUAUAUUGAACCGCAUGGUUCAAUAGUGAAAGACGGUUUUGCUGUCACUUAUAGAUGGAUCCGCGCCGCAUUAGCUAGUUGGUAAGGUAACGGCUUACCAAGGCAACGAUGCGUAGCCGACCUGAGAGGUGGAUCGCCAAAAUUGAACUGGAGACACGUCCAAGACCCUUACGGGGGGCAGAAGUAGGGAAUCUUCCGCAAUGGGCGAAAGCUUGACGGAGAAACGCCGCGUGAGGGAUGAAGGUCUCCGAAUCGUAAAACUCUUUUAUUAGGGAAGAACAAAUGGGUAAGUAACUAUGCACUUCUGGCCGGUACCUAAUCAGAAAGCAACGGCUACUUACGG
rnacentral:rRNA from 1 species